UCUCCGUAGGUGAACCUGCGGAGGGAUCAUUACAGAGUUCUCGCCCCUCCGGGUAGAUCUACCAAUAACUGUGAUUGAUACUGUGUUGUUUUCGCUGGCUGUCGGGCCCUGCCCGUCCGCCGGCUUCUGCUGGAGCGGGCCCGGCCGCGGCUCCGCAAACUCUUAAUGUCAGUGUUGUCGGUGUACUAUAAAAUAGUUAAAACUUUCAACAACGGAUAACUUGGUUCUGGUAUAGACAAAGAUCGCCACAGAUCGGCAGAGCACUCGCCUGAAGUACAA
rnacentral:misc_RNA from 1 species